rnacentral:rRNA from 1 species
AUACGGAGGGUGCAAGCGUUACUCGGAAUCACAGGGCGUAAAGCGCGCGCAGGCGGCUAUUUAAGUUGGAUGUGAAAGCCUACGGCUCAACCGUAGAACUGCAUCCAAAACUAUUUAGCUAGAGUGUGGGAGAGGAAGAUGGAAUUAGUUGUGUAGGGGUAAAAUCCGUAGAGAUAACUAGGAAUACCAAAAGCGAAGGCAAUCUUCUGGAACACUACUGACGCUGAGGCGCGAAAGCGUGGGGAGCAAACGGGAUUAGAUACCCUAGUAGUCC